rnacentral:rRNA from 1 species
AGAACGAACGCUGGCGGCAGGCCUAAAACAUGCAAGUCGAGCGCCCAGCAAUGGGAGCGGCGGACGGGUGAGUAACACGUGGGAACGUACCUUUCGGUUCGGAACAACUCAGGGAAACUUGAGCUAAUGCCGAAUUCGCCCUUCGGGGAAAGAUUUAUCGCCGAAAGAUCGGCCCGCGUUGGAUUAGCUUGUUGGUGAGGUAAUGGCUCACCAAGGCGACGAUCCAUAGCUGGUUUGAGAGAACGACCAGCCACACUGGGACUGAGACACGGCCCAGACUCCUACGGGAGGCAGCAGUUGGGAAUCUUGGACAAUGGGGAAACCCUGAUCCAGCCAUGCCGCGUGAGUGAUGAAGGCCUUCGGGUUGUAAAACUCUUUCGACGGGGACGAUAAUGACGUACCCGUAGAAGAAGCUCCGGCUAACUUCGUGCCAGCAGCCGC